UUCACCACUCUCUGACUAAAGAAAUUCCCCCUCAUCUCCUUCCUAAAGGAACAUUCUUUAAUUCUGAGGCUAUGACCUCUGGUCCUAGACUCUCCCACUAGUGGAAAUAUCCUCUCCAAAUCCAUUCUACCAAGCCUUUCACUUUGACUUAGCAUGAAUCUCAAC